CAUGGUCUUAGUUUGCUAAGGCUGAUGGCGACCGGCGCACGGGUGAGUAACACGUAUCCAACCUGCCGUCUACCCUUGGCCAGCCUUCUGAAAGGAAGAUUAAUCCAGGAUGGGAUCAUGAGUUCACAUGUCCGCAUGAUUAAAGGUAUUUUCCGGUAGACGAUGGGGAUGCGUUCCAUUAGAUAGUAGGCGGGGUAACGGCCCACCUAGUCAACGAUGGAUAGGGGUUCUGAGAGGAAGGUCCCCCACAUUGGAACUGAGACACGGUCCAAACUCCUACGGGAGGCAGCAGUGAGGAAUAUUGGUCAAUGGGCGAUGGCCUGAACCAGCCAAGUAGCGUGAAGGAUGACUGCCCUAUGGGUUGUAAACUUCUUUUAUAAAGGAAUAAAGUCGGGUAUGCAUACCCGUUUGCAUGUACUUUAUGAAUAAGGAUCGGCUAACUCCGUGCCAGCAGCCGCGGUAAUACGGAGGAUCCGAGCGUUAUCCGGAUUUAUUGGGUUUAAAGGGAGCGUAGAUGGAUGUUUAAGUCAGUUGUGAAAGUUUGCGGCUCAACCGUAAAAUUGCAGUUGAUACUGGAUGUCUUGAGUGCAGUUGAGGCAGGCGGAAUUCGUGGUGUAGCGGUGAAAUGCUUAGAUAUCACGAAGAACUCCGAUUGCGAAGGCAGCCUGCUAAGCUGCAACUGACAUU
rnacentral:rRNA from 1 species